GCUUAGCCCUAAACCUCAGUAGUUAAACCAACAAAACUACUCGCCAGAAUACUACAAGCAACCGCUUGAAACUCAAAGGACUUGGCGGUGCUUCACACCCUCCUAGAGGAGCCUGUCCCAUAAUCGAUAAACCCCGAUCCACCCCACCCUCUCUUGCUCAGCCUAUAUACCGCCAUCUUCAGCAAACCCUGAUAAAGGUCAACAAAGUGAGCGCAAGUGCCCCUUCUCGCAAAAACGUUAGGUCAAGGUGUAGCCUAUGAGAUGGAAAAAGAUGGGCUACAUUUUCUACCCCAGAAAACCCACGAUAACUCUCAUGAAACCUAAGAGUCUAAGGAGGAUUUAGUAGUAAAUUAAGAAUAGAGUGCUUAAUUGAACGAGGCCAUAAAGCACGC
rnacentral:rRNA from 1 species